AUUACUUUGGCAGAUGUGAUGCAUUAGACUUAGGAUCUAAUUAGAUAGAGUUUUCUAUAAGUAAUA
rnacentral:tRNA from 1 species